ACCAACAGGAUGAAGGAGAAAUCUGCCCAUAGCAACUGCCCCAGAGCUCUGGCGUCGCUUUGGCCUUGGUGCAGGAUUCCCCUGAUGCCAUCAUUUGUCUCGACAUUGAAGAGAAGCAGAGUGAUGUGGUCAGACGAGGGCAAAUCCUAGUGGGGACAAGGAUCAGGAGCUCUUUACAGGGACAAUGUUGCCGCUGAGAUACAAGUAAAACUAGCGUGUGCUGCAGUGUGUGAGAGGACAGGAAAAACAGUGGGGGCUCAACCAAAGCAGCGGAUGUAGCAGGUUCUUAGGCAAGGCCCCCACUGAUGAGAGCCUCUGGCUGUGGGCCAGGCUCAGGUGGCCACAGAAAGCUAACAGCACAGCCCCCAUCUGAACCGCAAGCCUCUGCCCCACUGUCCCCCGCUCAGAGGAAAGCAGAAACUUGAAGCAGACGGUGCUCCCCAAAAGCAGUGCCCCAAGAGAUGCUGGGGCAGGCACCAUGGGCAAGGCUGUCUCCUUCUGGCCCUGCCGUCCUGCUGCUGGUGCUCUGUGUCAGAAUUACCUUCCAGGACAUCUGCAGCUCCCCAGGUACUCGUGAGUCCUUCCCUCCCAGACCCAGGGCACUCUGAAGCCCAACCACUGUUAGCUCUGCCCUAUGGCAGCCCUUCACUGCUGUGUCUCCUCCAGGGAAUCUUUGAGCUCCUGCUCUCCAAAUGAACUCAAGAUCUGCUCAGCCAGGUACCAGAGUUGUGCUCCAGUGUAUUCUCCCUGUGGUGUCACCCGUAAUACGAACCAUCAUCUGCAAGGAUGGCAAGCAGCUGUACAGCGAGAAAGGCCAUCAAGGGCAGCUGAACUACUCCGUGGUCCUGAACAUCACGUCAAGAAGCGCAGGAAAAUAUACAUGUGGGUACCAGGAGUGGAAUGAGAUGAAACAGAGGAGGAACUCUGCCCUCAGUGUUGGCCGCAUCCUGGAUGUCCCUGGCAAUGUGGUGAAUUCCCCAGCAAGUCCAUCACCCCCAGGAGAGUGAUUCCCUACUGCACCUCCUGUACCCCCAGGUGAGUGAUUCCCUCCUGCUCCCCCAGGACCUCCAGGUCCCCCUGUCCCUGCAGCACCACCUCUGCUGCAGACAUGGGGCUGUGCAGGGCCCAUGCACAGAGAAGAAAGGAUGGGGAUGUGGAUGGAUGCUGGAUUGAGCCAGGGAUGUUCCAAUGUCUGUCCUGUGCAUUGAUGAGCCUGUGGCAGGGCAAGUAGAGUAAUUGUCAUGAGCUGAGCUGUAAUGUACGUGUGAGCACAGGGACAAUAUUUCUGGCACUAAAACUAUGGCUGGAGUCAUAUUGUGAAAGAAGUGAUAUUGGAGUGCUCAGGGAUCUAGGCAACUCUCCCUCGAAAAAUAAACCAACCAAAAAUGGCUAGAGAUGGACA
rnacentral:lncRNA from 1 species